rnacentral:lncRNA from 1 species
GAUUUUAGUGAGUAAACGUGAAUCACGUAUGAAAAAUGAAAGGUUGUUCUCAUAUUUUCUACAUUUUUCCACUAAAAUAUCUUUUAAUUAAAUAAUCAAAAUAAUUAUUUGUAAUUUAGUCUACCAAUCACUAUUUCACACAAUUUCAUCCUUAAUCAUUAUCUUUUCCAUAAUUAUCUAAUUCAUGUAAUUACCAUUCU